AGACAUCUAUUACCUAAAUGUGCCACCAGGCAAAGAAAGAGAAAUUAAAGCAUAACUAGCACCAGUCAACCUAAUCCUGGGUUUAUGUCAUGUACUGUAUUUAUAAAGGCCCAAUUAGAAUGAGCUCGGAAGAACAUUUGACACAUUGCGUUUGAAAUUUGUCCACCCGAGUCAUUGUGGAAUAUGCAGGGUCUGAAAUUAGCUGUUUUCACUGCCUGGCGCACAAUUCUGCCACUUUUGAAAUGUAUGCACUUAAUAUAGGAAUAACAUUUAGACAUAACAUUUAAAGAAUGAUGCCAUUCAAUGUUUGAUAUAUUUACAUUACAUGGUCAAUUCCAAUAUUCAAAUUACACCAGGGCUUUUGGGGGAGCCCUGUUUUGCAGGGGUGGGAGGGCACUGUACACAUGCAUUUGCAAUCGACUUUCAAAUGUGUAGCUUUGGUCAAUCCACUAACCUAACAUGUCUCUGUUGUGCAGUUUCUGUCUGCCAAAGCGCCGGCUGGCCUGACGAUUUUACCGGCCACUACCAACAAUUGACCCGUAUUUAACUUCUCAGACCC